CCUCUUUUUUCUUCUUCUUCUUUUCUUCUUUAUUUCUUUUUUCAAAUUACUGAUCUUCACACGUGAGCAACAUCUUUCUAAUUGCUUUUGUAAGGAACGUGAUACGUUUGUAAGGUUUCCUUCUUUUAGGUACCCUAUUAAUUCGUCCAAUCGUCGCAUUACCCACAAAAAUUCUAACCAACCUGUUUGUUUGAGGCAUGUUUUUCCCUGCCUCUGAAAAAUUAUAUUUGCAAGUUGAAUGAAUAUUUGAACCUACUGUUCCGAGAUGCUUGCCAAUAUCAACGGAUUUAGGGCAAACAAGCAAAUCUUUAAAAUAUUGGGAAUACCAAACGUGUGUGGGCUGGACAGUAGAGAUCUCCGUCAGGUGGAGACAGAAACCAUCUAUAAUAGUCGUGUAUCAUUCUUUUUUAGUUUCUACUUUUCUUCAUCAGCCCUAAAAGAUAGAAAGAAAUGGGGACUCAAGAGGGGGCGAGAGAGGUGCUUCUUCAGUUCAGAGGAGGAGGUGAUGGCUCGGAUGUGAGAGAGCGGAAGGGAUAGAAAAAGAGCGAGAGAUAAUUGCAGACAAUUUCUCAUGCGAUGGUGAUUACUUUGCUGGUUGAAGCACCUCCGAAGCAGCCCCUCUCUCCGCUUUUUCUCUUCCGAGAAGGGGGCCAUCGCGCUGGAAAAAGCCGCAACAAACGACACAACCCCAUCUCGUCAAUUGUGUUGUAGAACCCACAAGGGCAUUCACUGUUCAAAGAAUGCGGGCCAUCAUGACAUUUUUCUUUUUCCCCUCACAUCCUCUUUGUGUUUUCCCGCUCCUUUCUCUCAUGACUUUGCAACCUGGUGGCGCACGCAACACACACUCACACACACACAAGGGAGAUACAAAUAUAUACAGGGGCAAGGCAAAAGACAACAGCACUGGAGAGCAACAGCACAACAACAAUAACAACAACAAGUUUUAAUGGCGAAGGAAGGGAAGGGUGAAUUAGUGGGUGAGGAGGAAGAAGCUGCUCGGGGCUCUCUCUCCCCCUCCCUCUCUUACUUUAUCUUUAUCAAGGAAUGUAUAUAUCUUGGGCUGGGCUUGGCUCCCGUCCGUUUCAAAUUCAAAUAAAAUCGUACUCUUCAGAGGUUCCAGUCUUAUUUUGUUAUUUAGUUAAUUUUUUUUUUGUUUGAUACUUGGUUUUAUGAUUUGAAAAUGGAGGUUGGGUGACUUCGGUAAGUCCCCCACUUCCUGAUGUGAAGAGUCUAGUUCAUUUGGUGCCCACACCAUGAAAGCAGUCAGUGUGCCGAACACCGUUCAAGUCUUUUACCUCCCUCUACGUACUACUAUAUAUAUACACACAUAUAUAUAUAUAGUAAUUCAUUAUUGGAUAGAAAGUAACCAGGUUGAUAGAUAGAUAGAUACAUAUCUGUGUGAGUGUAUGUGUGUGUGUGUGUGUGUAUAUAUAUAUAUAUAAACAAUGUAAACACUGAGAGAGGGGAGAAAGAGGGGGAGAUGCGUGGGGUGGGGGACGUUAUUCUCCACGCUGGGGUUCCGGUUUCAGUCAAGUACUGAGUGCAGUACAAAGCCGUGUACGAUGAUGAUGCUUCGGGGGAGGCAAAGGAGGAGGCCCGCUUCGCAUGGCCCUGGCCCUGACCCUGGCCCAAAAGUGUGACCAGCCCUGGAGAACAUACUGCGUGCCUUCGCUAAUGCCCAGGCAAGACUUCUGGCACCGCACGGGAGGAAAAGCAUCAGAGCAGGAGCAGAGCCAAGCCCAGCCCAGCCCAGCCAAGCCAAGCAAAGGAAAGGAAAGAGAAAAGGAGGGGUUUACGGUUCCCUUCCUUUUCUUCCUCAUCCCCCCCGCAUGUCCAGCGACCCAGACCCCCAGUCCUGCUCGUUCCGUCAGUUAUCUAGUCUGGCAGUGUGUUACAACUUGGAUGGAUCGCAGUUGAGGAAGUUCAGACAAGGAAGGAAGGGUAAAAACGGAGCCUAGCUGCAGUCCUCCUCGAUGCAAGCCUGGUGAUGAUAAUCCGGAGCAACCGAGCCCGUACCAAGCCUGAUCCAAGGUCGCAUCGAAUCGGAGACUGGUUUCGGGGUAAUUCACGGUAGCAAGAGAAAGAGAUUGGUGGGGAAGCAUCUGACUAUUGCCGAGAUUGAAUGGCUGGAAGUGGAUCUGGGAGUCCUUUUCCUUCUCUUACUCCCGAGCUAUGUUUAGUCUCGAAGCCCCGCACGGAUGGUACCUAUUUGGUACGGACCGCGCCUGCAUGCCACGAUGGUGGACGGCCCGCGGUCCAUGGCAUCAUCCAUCGCAAACACCUGGUGUGGUGGUCGUCUGAUGAGCCCUCCCCCCUGCAGUGAAAUCAGGUUCAACCGACUCCAGUUUUUUCUUUUUAAUAAUAAUAAUAAUAUUACCUGACUACAGAUCCCUGCAGAACAGAAACGAAAGAGGCUCUCAACCUCCAUCUAAGGGAGUGAGACUGGAAAGAGAGAGGGACACAGUCCAGGAAUAGCAGCUGCUCCGGAGAUGCUUCUUUCUUUCUCCCUUCUUCCAGGCUCCUGCUUUUCGGGGCAGCAGCAAAGAGACAGCCGGUGCGGAAGCGGCUUCCGCACACCUUCCCUUUGCAGAUCCUACCUCCCCCGACACGCACCGCAGCCCCGCCAGCCUGCAAAGCGUGUCCAUCAUGAUCGCCAGGCCACCUUCCUUCCCAUCAUCCGAUGCAUUGCCCGUCUUCCAGAUUAUUGCCAUCUAAUCCUUCCACCAACUGGGUGGGCGCUUGCGAUCAACGUCUCUGACUACUGCAGCAGUUGGCAAAGGCCUCGUUUUGGUGGACAACUCUCUGUUAUCCUGACUGUGUUCGACGUCUGCAGAGCGGGAAUUAUUCAAACCCAUUGCGUGGGCAGGUUGCAUUCCGCUCCUGCACUGGAGCCUCGUAAAAAAGGACUUGAAGAGCCGGUUCCUCGGUGGGGUGUUCGACGUGGCAUCGCCUCAAAGGACCUCCCAAACACCGUUUAUGAACGCGAUGGAACAUAUGAAUAUAUAAAUAUAUAUAUAUAUAUAUAUAUAUAUAUCAUGAGUUGGGAAUCUUCACGAUGUCAACGACACUGUAAUUUAGGGCUGGAAUAUUACACAUAAUUUUAAAUUUUUGUUUAGAAUAUAAAUUGUGGAGGAAUGUUCAGGAUUUGCACAUAGUCCUAAAAUAAUAAUAAUGUUCCGUAGUUUUUUUACA